AGCCAUAGACAUCUUGGAUAGAAGGCUAAUAAUGAUAUCUAAUAAAUGCAGACCUGGCGAUGAAUAACUACCGGUACCUAUUGUGAUAUUUUUACCAGUCCAGUCCACCCAAUUUGUUUGUCUUCUCACCUUCCCUGGCUUAACAAGGACUUCUGUGGCUUAACGUCUCAACUUCCCUGGCUAUUAAGUGUCUUAACAGCCUCUUAAAGAUUCCAGGCAAAUAAUACUGGUAGCAAGGAAAACAAUGGUGGCCUUUUCCCAUUUAUUUAUUUCAUUAAUAUCCUGCCUUUAUUUUAUACAAUUUAAGGCAGAAUACACAAUGCUCCCUCUUCCCAUUUUCCCAUAAGAGCAACCCUAUGAAGUGUGUUGGGUUAAGGCAGAUGGAUGGGCCCAAAGUUACCUAUUUAGCUGCUGCAUCUAAAGGAGGAUUGGAACUCAUAACCAAUUUAGUUUCUAAUCCACCAUCUUAACCACUACAAUAAAAUAGCUUUUGAACUUCUCCUCCACUCACUAGCUCAUUACUGUCAAUCAUCUACUGGGAAGAAUACCAGAGCUGCCUGUUGGUUUUAAAAUCCAAUUUACAGACAAUGCAACUUUUAACAAUUUAGGCAAGUUGCACAACUGUGUUUUUCUUGAGGUGAGGUUGAAUUGUGGAGUCCUUGGUGCUCUCUGAGCUUGAUUGUUUGAUUCAAGAUAAGAAGGAUUAUGACCAUAAUCAAUAUGACUUGCUAUUCAUAUGUAAACUUCGAGCUAAUGUACUGGCAACAAAUUCCUUGUGUGUGUCCAAUCACACUUGGUCAAUAAAGCAAUUCUGUUCUAUUUCCAUUUCCAUUUCUAUUUCAAAACAUAUCCUCUCCAGCAGCCAACACUGAGAGAAGCAGGGAUUAACACCAGACAAACAAUCAAGCAAAGCAGAAAACAAUACCCUAAUAAAAAAAAUAUGUUAAGAAGAAAACCACUCACCCACCAAAACAGGCAGAGUAAACUACUGAAGCAAUCGUUGUUGCUGAUGAUGUUACCUAUAGUAGUUGGGUAAUGUGACAUCUAAACCACCAGCCUCAGAGAGCAAUAAGGACUCCACUUCUGUUUCUUUCUGCAUUGUUUUUCAAUUAGAAAAUCUUUUUCUGCUCUUGGCAUAGUUCCAUGCUUGGAGGUCCACCUGAACUGGUCAUGUGAUCAACUUCAGGGGACUGGUAGAGCCUGCAGCUGAAGCUACUGCAGGUACAGUUGUGACCAAAAGAUUUCUCCUCCCCACCUCCCACAGAAAGGAAUACAUACAUUGCUAACAUCUCCACCCCUUCCACAUUUUCUUGAAAGCACUUUCUUAUCAUGGGAAUUUUAGCAGUUGCUGUCCACCAUAAUUAUUAUCAUUAACGAAACCUUCUCAUUUUAUGGUUAACACAAACAAUCAUCACAAGUGGUUCACUAUUUCAUUAAUAGUGUAUAAUCAGGGGUGGUAUUCACUUACCUUCGUUACAGGUUUGCAAAUAUGAGUGCACGCGCCACCUCCGUGUAUGCGCAGAGCAUCAGAAAUGGGACAUGAUGUCUGGGCAGGUGGGCGGAGCCUCUCACAGCCACCACUACCGGUUCGCCUGAACCUGAUAUAACCAGCUGAAUACCACCACUGCCUAUAAUAUGUAUCUGUUGUAAUCUGGUGAUGGACUAACUCAGCAAUGCAGAUAAGCCUCUGGAGAAACCUUUAUUUCAAAUGGCAAACCUUGACUGAGGACUUCUGGGGAAGAAAUGGCAAACUGAAGAUGGAGUCAACCCCAUCCAGAACUAAAGAUGUUAAAGAAUGUGCUGGGCCCCUCCCAUCUCCUGCUAUCUCAGCCAGAGACUGAUAGUGAAGAAGAAUGGCCUGGCAUGCCUCCAGCCCCCAGCCCUGGCACCAUGCCCGGACAGAAUGAGCAAACAAAUCUCCCUCCUACAGUGUGUGAGCAAGAAGCCAGCCACGAGCUAGAAUUGCUGGCAGCUGAGCAGGAGGACAAAACGUGGACAGAUCCCCGCUUCCGGAGAAUGGAGAGGCGAUGUCAGCAAAAGGAAGGGAGGGGCAGGCCUGGAUAAGUGCUGAGUCAUGGAGCCACAGCCCAUGGCCUAUAUAAAGGAUCUGCUUUUUGGCAUUCCUUGAGUCAGACAAAGUCUCAUCUGGUUGCUGAAGUCACACCUUGGAUUCCUGCCUGCCCUGAGAACUCUGACAGGAAUUUGGCAAAGCUGCAGAGGCUUCAUGGCCACGCUUGAUACAGACUUCCCAGACCCGGCCGUCGGAGGGGGAGUGGGACACGACAAAUUUUGUUUUUUCUUCCUUUUCUAUUUUUUCUUUUCUGCACUUUCUAUUCUUUAUUUUUUACUUUAUAUUUUAGUUUGUAUUAGUUUUUAUCGUGUGUGUGUGUGUGUGUGAGUGUGUGUGUGUGUGUAUGUAUGAUUAAAAACUAACAUAUGUAAAAGCAGGGAGCAACCACACAUGCUGAUCUUGGUGCUUUGUUGGUAAUGAAACAUUUGCAAGAAGGGGGAUGCACUGGAUCAGAGAUUUAAUGAUGCUGGAACUCCUGGACAGAAAUGAUUUGCCCUUCGGCAGUUUGAGCCCGGCUCCAUGAGACGGAAUGAGCCCCUGUCGCUUGAUCCCUGGCUCCCCGUCCACCCAGCAGUUCAAAAGCAUGCAAUAUUGUGAGUGAAUAAAUGGAUACCACUUCGGUGAGGGCUGCUUUUGUGUGUGUGUAGCUGCCUAGCUGCCUUUGUGUGUGUGUAGAACAAAAACUGGUGUUGGACCUGGCUGGACGGGAGGCAUCUCAACAUGAGGUGAAACCAGCAGAGGAACCCAGAAGAGCCAGCAAUUCGUACCAUUAGUUAACUGGUGUAAAAAUAGUUUGCCCCCCAACCCCGCAGUGCACCAAGGAUGGGUAUGCAAGUGUCAAACAAAACGAACUAGCAAUUUAGGCUGUCAGGACUGCAUUGUGUCUAGCAUGUUCAGAUUUCUCUGACAUUGUAUGCCUAAUAGUAGAUAAUAAAGACUAACUACUAUUGACCUCACCCCAUUCCUAAGAGGUCUGUAAGGGGCGUGUAUAAGAGCACCAACAUGCCUACCGUUCCUGUCCUAAUGUUACCUUUGAUAGUUAUUUCAUGCUUAUACUUAUAUAUACUGUAGUGUUUGACAAAUAAAUAAAUAAAUAAAAAUAAAACAAAUGUACUAAAUAAAUUAAUUUGCAAAGAAUCCAAGCUCAGGGAAGCAUCAAGGGCUCUAUUUAUGUCUCUUUCUCCACCUGUGUGGCUUAACAGGUUGGGCUUCACACUUCCUGUAGUAGAAGUGAUGAAUCCAUGCACAUAUUACACUGGCCCUUUUCUUCUGACCCCACACAUGCUGUUUUCCACCUCUACUUAUGGGACCGCCUUCUGCUACCGAAUACCUCCCACCGUCCCGUACGCUCACACAGAGAGGGGCUUCUCAGCGUGCCGUCCGCCAAACAAUGUCGGCUGGCGGCCCCCAGGGGAAGGUCCUUCUCUGUGGGGGCUCCUACCCUCUGAAACGAACUUCCCCCUGGAUUACGCCAACUGCCUGACCGUGAGCUCAAGACCUAUUUAUUCAUCCGUGCGGGACUGGCUUCGUGAUUUUUAAAUUUUUAAAUUUUAUAUUUUUAGAGAGUUUAAUUUUAAUAGGAUAUUGUUUUAUAUCUCAACCCAUAUAUAAUAAGUUUUUUAAUUGUUGUUUUAAUUGUAUAUUGUUCUAUUUUUUUAUUAUGGCUGUGAACCGCCCUGAGUCUUUCGGGAGAAGGGCGGUAUAAAAAUCAAAUAAAUAAAUAAAUAAAUAAAUACAGUAUAUGUGUAGUGCAAAUGAAGUUGGCUACAAUUUUUUCACUUUCUCAUUCUGAUUUUUUUUUCCAUUCUUUCCUCAUUAAAGCAUCUCAUCCUCUGGUUUCCUCAAAUG